rnacentral:rRNA from 1 species
UACGGAGGGAGCUAGCGUUGUUCGGAUAUACUGGGCGUAAAGCGCACGUAGGCGGCGCCGUAAGUCAGGGGUGAAAUCCCGGAGCUCAACUCCGGAACUGCCCUUGAAACUGCAGUGCUAGAAUCCUGGAGAGGCGAGUGGAAUUCCGAGUGUAGAGGUGAAAUUCGUAGAUAUUCGGAAGAACACCAGUGGCGAAGGCGACUCGCUGGACAGGUACUGACGCUGAGGUGCGAAAGCGUGGGGAGCAAACAGG